rnacentral:tRNA from 1 species
GGGAGUGGCUGUAUCCAUGGUGGAUGCCCCGGACUUCAAAUCCGGUGGGAGGACGGUGAACCGGUCUCUGGUGGGUUCGAUUCCCACACAUUCCCGCCA